rnacentral:rRNA from 1 species
CCUACGGGAGGCAGCAGUGGGGAAUAUUGGUCAAUGGACGAGAGUCUGAUCCAGCCAAGUAGCGUGAAGGAUGACUGCCCUAUGUGUUGUAAACUUCUUUUAUAAAGGAAUAAAACGAGGCACGUGUGCCUUUUUGCAUGUACUUUAUGAAUAAGGCUCGGCUAACUCCGUGCCAGCAGCCGCGGUAAUACGGAGGAGCCGAGCGUUAUCCGGAUUUAUUGGGUGUAAAGGGAGCGUAGAUGGGUUGUUAAGUCAGUUGUGAAAGUUUGCGGCUCAACCGUAAAAUUGCAAUGGAUACUGGCCGUCUUGAGUACAGUUGAGGUAGGUGGAAUUCGUGGUGUAGCGGUGAAAUGCUUAGAUAUCACGAAGAACCCCGAUUGCGAAGGCAGCUUACUAAACUGUGACUGACAUUGAUGCUCGAAAGUGUGGGUAGCAAACAGGAUUAGAUACCCCUGUAGUC